rnacentral:lncRNA from 10 species
GGUCAUCAAACUGGAGACAGGACACCCUUGCCCAGUUAGCAUUUUAGUUCAGCUUGCCUGGGUUCUCAUUCCAAAUUCCUGCCCCCAAAUCCUUGGUCACCCCCAAGAGUAGAUCUUUAUCCACAACAGGCCACUGUUGAACCUAAGGUUUCCCAGAGGAAACCAGAAAAGACUUCCCUUAUGUUGGGGUUUUAGGGUACCCAAUAAAUAGGACCCCUCUUUCCUGCCCAACUUCUGAGCCAAUUAAGAGGAAUAGGAAUCAGGCAGAUAGAGGGAAAAUAUCACCAUUCUUUUAAGUUGACAAAGUCUUGGUUGGUGGCUAUCAUUUCAGGUCCUUGGGCUUGUUAAUAUUGUACCACUGAUGGCAAACAGAAACUUUGCAACAUGGAGAUUUACCACUUAAAAGUUAAGGCUUGGAGGGGCAGAGGAUGUUUACUUUCCUCAGGCUCUUCCCAGAGAGAAAGGAAUAGGUGAGGCGUACAUCUUCCAUUGCUUCUCCCAGGCCGACUGAAGUUCCUCUUCCUCCAAUGAAGUGAAGGAGAGAGAGGAUGCAGGCGGCCAGGGGAUUUACUCAAUGGAAACAUGUCCCCAAUAGAAACAAGGACAGCAGGGAACAAAUGUUCCCAUCAGCUACCUACAACAGGUAAGGCUAAGUCUCUGUGGGGUUGAGGUCCCUUGCCCCCAGCGCACAUACACACACACACACACACACACACACACACACACACACACAGCCACCAAUGCCAUGCUCAUGCUUUGUAUAGUUUUGGGAUUUGUGACAACUUUUAAGUCUGAGGGGAAUGAAUGUACUCAUGAAGAAAAUCUCCACCGUUAAGGAAAUGCCCUUGGUGUGGACUAGUGCUAGAGGCACAGACCUUGAGUAGGGAGUCCUGAAUUCCUAUCCCAGUGCUGAGUUAAGCAGCUCUAUAGUUAUUCAAGGUCUCUUGCCCUCCAUGUGCUCUGUCCUCAGUUAUGCACUGGAGAUCAGAAUACCUGUCCUGCCAAGUGUGUGAAAGACAAGAUAAAACCAGAAAGGGCCUCUGAAUAACCCAGCUCCACUUCACAGAAGCACUGGGGUGGUUCCAUAUUCAGAGAAAAUAGUAAUGUUUUUCUUGAAAAAUAGAGUAGAUGUGAAGCAACUUUCUGUCACUUCUCAGUACUUUUUUAGCACCAGAGAGUUUAUCCAAGGUGGACCCCAUCAAAGUGAAACAGAAGGGAGGGGUGGGGAGGUCCCCCUAACCCAUAAGCUUAAGGGUUGGGUGUUACUGACUCCAUUUGGAGAACACGCAGCCAGGGGCUUAAUGACACAUUUUGAUUGAUUACACUGGUAACUCUGAAACCUGGUACAGAUUACCUUUUGCCCUCAGUGGGGCUUUACCUGAAUCAUUCCUCUAGAGCAAGAAAGCUGAACAUCAUUACUUUCAGAGUGAUAAAUCAGAGAAGGGUAGGAAUUGAAAGGGCACUCGACUUUUUCUUCAACUUCUUGAAGAAUAAGACUACUAGAGGAUUAGUCCUUGGCCACCACUUUUUUGUAAUUCCCUGGGCAACAAACUAGUCCUCGACCUAGAUGGAAAAAAUGGUGAGAAAAAAAGGAAGGGGAGAACAAAGAAUGAAGGAAGGGGAGGAGAAGAAAGAAUGAAGGAAGGGGAGAGCAAAGGAAGACCAGUCUUACGAAUACAGGACAAGAGGAAAAAUAAAGUUCAGAAUUCUUUCAACUCACUGGAAUUUCCCAAGGUGCUUAAAGUGACAGGAACUGCAUGGGACCUCAAAGUGAGAGCCUUGUUUAUGGGUGUAUACAUAGAAAGGUUCAAUAGGAAUGUCCCUUCAAUUGGAAGAUAUAGAAGAGCCUGUAUUAUUUCAUUUUUGUCAAUAACGCUCUCAUUCAAAUCCGUAGUUCACCCUCUUCCCCAUGCUAUUCUGCCUACUAUGUGAUCCCCUUUCACACUUGCUCAUUCACCAUGUACCAAAAGCCAAGCACUGGGAAUGGUGCUGCAGACACAAAGAAAAACAACGUACUGCCUCCUACCCUCAGGGAGAUCCCGGUCACUGGGGGAGACGCUAGGACCAUGCUCUGCAAGAGUGCAAUGGGAGAAGUGCUUAAGGAGAAAUUAACAAAGAGCAAUCAAUAGCCCAGAGGAUGGGACUCUAACUUAGGGACUGAGGUAAGGGGUCAUAGGACGGGUACUCAGUUACAUUCCCCAAGAAACAGAGACAGAUUUGUGUGCAAGAGGUGUCCUGGAUCAGUGCUCACUUGUAAGAAAGUGAAGGAGACAGGACUGGGCAGAGUGAGAGAUGCGGUCGCCAAAGAGGCCUCGGCGGAUCCCACAGGAAGUCAGCUCUGAAGCUGGAAUAACCUUUCUGAGGGGACACGAAUUGAGACAAGGGAGUCAGAUCGUGGUACCCUGCAUUCACUACUCCUUAGAUGUGGGCAGUCCCACAAGGGGGAGGGUCAUAACCUCAGACACAGCUGCUGCCUUGGACCAAGGGCAAUUCUGGGAGAGGGAUCCAUGUAUGAGCCUGCAGCAGGCAGCACCCUAGCACUGGGGAAAAGGGCACCCUGCGCCUGAAUAGGAGAUGGGACAGCAAACCACAGCAUCCACUACAGGAGACUUUCUAAAACGGGAGCAGCCGGGGUGUUCUGGAGUGUGCAAAUACUGACAAGGAGAGCAAAGUGUCCUAGGCAGAAAAAACACCAAUGGGACCUUCAAGGAGCAUCCGGCUUUAGGAAAACUACGAGAGCUUCAGCAUGGCUGCAAGGCAGGGCAAGGGGAGGGGAGUGGGGAGAGAUGGGACAGGAGAGUGGGCAGCCAGAUCCAAAAGAACUCCACUUGCUGAGCUGAAGGGUCUGGAUUUUGUCUUGGAAAUCAGGGCAAAGUCAGAGAAGGAUUUUCAAUACUGUUUAUAAAGUUAUUUUCUAAUUUAUAUUCAUAAAGUUUGGGAGUACAAUUAAGUACAAGGAGAAAAUAAAAUACACCUAUAAUCCCACCACCCCAAUAUAACCAUAAUUAACAUUUUGAUGGUUUCCUUUCUGGUAUUUUUCUAUUUAUAGAGAUACAUAUCUAGGCAGAGAGAGAAAGGUUUUCAAACAAUCAGGCAGAGAUUUUACCAUAUACUUUGUAUGUUGCUUUUCUGGUUUAUAUCAUAAGCAUCUUCAUGUCAUUUGUUUCCAGAUCUUCGUCUACAAUUCUUAUUGUAUCACUGAGAUAAAUUCCCAAAAAGAAACACAUCAGGCCAAAAGACAGAAACAUAUUAAGACUGAGAACACCAACAUCAAAGGUUUAAAAGAUAAAGCUGGAUACAUGGAAAUGUAUUUUCUUUAUUGCCUUUAUUUCUUUUUAACUCGCCUCUGUCUUCACUGGAGAACAUAGGGAGAAAUUCAAGCAAGUAACGGGUGUUCCAGUUCAUCGAGGGUCUGUCAUGAUGGCUUAUGAGGUCAUGACACAGACCCACAGGGAUUGCA